CUAGUACGAGAGGACCGGGAAGGACGCACCUCUGGUGUACCAGUUAUCAUGCCUACGGUAAACGCUGGGUAGCCAAGUGCGGAGAGGAUAACUGCUGAAAGCAUAUAAGUAGUAAGCCCACCCCAAGAUGAGUGCUCUCUCCUCCGACUUCCCUAGAGCCUCCGGUAUCACAGCCGAGACAGCGACGGGUUCUCCACCCAU
rnacentral:rRNA from 1 species